GAUGAACGCUGGCGGCGUGCUUAACACAUGCAAGUCGAACGAGAAGUGAAGACGGAAACCUUCGGGCGGAAGGCUUUAUUUCGAGUGGCGGACGGGUGAGUAACGCGUGGGUAACCUGCCUCAUACAGGGGGAUAACAGUUGGAAACGACUGUUAAUACCGCAUAAGACCACAGCACCGCAUGGUGCGGGGGUAAAAACUCCGGUGGUAUGAGAUGGACCCGCGUUCGAUUAGCCAGUUGGCGGGGUAACGGCCCACCAAAGCGACGAUCGAUAGCCGAUCUGAGAGGAUGACCGGCCACAUUGGGACUGAGACACGGCCCAAACUCCUACGGGAGGCAGCAGUGGGGGAUAUUGCACAAUGGGGGAAACCCUGAUGCAGCGACGCCGCGUGAGUGAAGAAGUAUUUCGGUAUGUAAAGCUCUAUCAGCAGGGAAGAAAAUGACGGUACCUGAGGAAGAAGCCCCGGCUAACUACGUG
rnacentral:rRNA from 1 species